GUUUCUGAUCCUGUUUAAGUUCCUAGUCCAUUGCCUUGCAUAUAACAAGAAAAUGGAACAGGACAUCAGGGAAGGAGGCUUCACGGCGUCUCAGAGCAGCUGACUGGCCUGUGCAGAGGCUGUGCGGCCACCCGGCCCAGCCCCCUCCUGCUGUCAUGGCUGGGGGACCCUCUGUGUUGCUGUAACCACGAGCGGCUCCUCCCUGGUCGCCAGGACGUCCCUGCCCCGUGUGUGUCUGGAAUAGGCACUUAGAUCAACGCUGACUCUGGAGCCCGUCCCUGGGUCCUGCAGAAGGGGCAAGGGCCUUGCAUGGUAGGCACGAUUACCUCAGUCUUACAAACUGGAAAAGGGAGUCUCAGAAUAGCCUCUGGUUGUCAUAUCUUGAAGACUGUAAUAUUUAUGAAGGCAGGAGCUAAAUUUACUUGAAUCAACACUGGAACCUCAGCGCAGAGUACUGGUACAUA